rnacentral:rRNA from 1 species
AACGAACGCUGGCGGCAUGCCUAACACAUGCAAGUCGAACGAGACCUUCGGGUCUAGUGGCGCACGGGUGCGUAACGCGUGGGAACCUGCCUUUAGGUUCGGAAUAACUCAGAGAAAUUUGAGCUAAUACCGGAUAAUGUCUUCGGACCAAAGAUUUAUCGCCUUUAGAUGGGCCCGCGUUGGAUUAGCUAGUUGGUGGGGUAAAGGCCUACCAAGGCGACGAUCCAUAGCUGGUCUGAGAGGAUGAUCAGCACACUGGGACUGAGACACGGCCCAGACUCCUACGGAGGCAGCAGUGGGGAAUUUUUGGACAAUGGGCGGCAAGCCUGAUCCAGCAAUGCCGCGUGCAGGAU